UUCGUAUACUCAGCAUAAGCACCUGGAUUUCUUGCUCCAAUUACAGUUAGUUCCACACAUCUAGUUGGGUGUCCUUCCCUACAGUAAUGACAGUUCCCACAUGAAAAAGUAGGGCA
rnacentral:antisense_RNA from 1 species